CGGGUGAGGCUUUAAGCUGGAACGUCCGCCCUGUCAAGGCGGAGAUCACGGGUUCGAAUCCCGUUGGCCCCG
rfam:Elusimicrobia bacterium RBG_16_66_12 RBG_16_scaffold_8893, whole genome shotgun sequence.